CUCCGUGAGGGGAAUCUGAAGGAAGCUGGAGGCAAAUUCUCGGUCUGACGUACAGAAACCGGAUAUAAGGCAGUUGCAAGUGGACAAGUCUGCAUGUCAAGGCUAAGUCCGAUAACUAUCCGAAACUUGCGGUUGUAAAUCCGGCAGAUGGAUGAGAUGAAAGUUACUG
rnacentral:ncRNA from 1 species